CCUGAGCUCAAAUCCAGCUUCAGACACUUACUGACUCUGAGGCUAUGUCUUAGCAUCAGGACAUUCCUCAUCUCACCUCAUUCUUUAUGGAUACAAGAAAAUGGACCAGCGGGCUAUGGAGAAAAGCUAGCAAAUAAUUAUAUUAUCCUAGUGAAGUAUUCCAAAAGUAGAAUAUGUGGAUUCCAACCCUGCCUUCUGACACAGCUGGACUGUGUGACACACACCCAGUGGACAGCCAAUACAAACCAAGAUGAAGUUGAGGCAAAGGAGAAGGAAGGUGGAUUGUGAUGUGGAGCAUCAAGUAGGCCAAUGUGACUGGAUUAGAGAAUACAUGGGGCAUCAGAGGACUGAAAAAGUGGGCCUCAUUGAUUCACAUUUGGCUGGACUGAGGAGGAAGCUGUUAACAGGAAAGAACCAUCAUGAUUCAAAAUUGAUUUGUGCCUUGAAAAGGAAAGAACAACACAUCCAUUGACUUUCAGAUCUGGCCUACAAAGCUUGGAAUGUAGAAGGCACAAGGUUCCCUUCAAUUCUGAAGAGGACAGUUACAGAUGUGAAACAGGACAAAUGUCAAGAACAGGAUGGAAGAAGUAGCCGGGGUUCAAAGACACAAAUAUUCUGAGGGGUUUUGUUUCUCAUUCUCUCUUCUAAAGUCCUUUCCUAGGAGCACUCUUAGGCAUUUCUAUUUUUUCCUAGUGGCUUACAUAACAACUACUUUUGGGAUUAAGACAGAUAUCAAUUUUUAAGUCCAUUUCCACCCUAGUUUCAGAAAGGCUUAUGAACCUUGGAUAAUUAGGGUUAUCGUUAAGGAUUAUUACAUUGACUUGUGGAAACCAUUUCCAUGGUUUUUUCAUGUUGAAUAUCAAAGUAUAAAUUUCAUGGAUAUUUCAUGUACUUGAAAAUUCUUUUUAAAUACUUCUGUCCCAAGCAAUUUUUGGCAGGGCUCAGAGUACCAAACAUCCCUUGCCCAAUGCUGAAAAUAGAUUACUAGCCACGUUUUUGUUCAUGAACUCAGAUCCCAUUUUGAACAUAAUCUGUUGUCAUUCCACCCCUCUCUCUGCUUUGCAAUCCCAAGCUCUGUCGUUCCUCUUCACCUUGAUCUCCAGUCCCUUGACCCCUCAGUUCUUUUGUAAGCCAUCACCCCUCUAUUGGCUACACUCUUCUUUCUCUAUUUUGACCCUUUGGCGAACCAGUUUAACUCUCCACUCUCCUCUUCCUUUGAGUUCCUUUGCCCCCUUUUCCUAUUGCCAAUCUUGCCCUGCUAAACUCCAACCUUGGAUUGCUCUGACCACCUUCUGCCUUCAUUCCUACUCACAUGCUGCUCGAGGAAGCUAUAGAAAAUCAUGAAAUUGUGCUGAUUCCACUACAAAUUUAUGCUAUCUAAUCUCGAUGAGGUCCUAACUGCUUCAUAAUCAAUUCACCAUGGGAUAUUUCUAGAGGGACAAAAAGGUUUAGAAAUGUCAAAAAAAAAAAAGGUAUGAAUACUCACCAUAGCUGCUUCCCUUUGUCCUGAGGCCUUUUCUCUGUACUAUUUCACUUGGUGAUCUUAUCAGCUCCCAUGUAUUCAAUUAACAUCUCUAUGCUGAUGAUUCUCAGACCUACUUAUCCAUCCUUAACCCUUCUCUUAACUUUCAGUCUGGCAUCUCCAACUGCAUAUUGGACAUUUUGAACUGCAUAGUGAAUAAGUAUAUUAAACUGAACAUGUGCAAAAUUGAAAAUCUUCUUCCCCCAAACCCACCCCUCUUUUUUCAUACUACUAGUAAGGGGGCCGUUGUUCUCCCAACGAUCCAGGCUCACAUCCUAGGGGUCAUCUUCAACAUCUCACUCUCUCCCUGCCCCUCACCAAAUCUUUGGCGAGUCUUGUUGAUUCUGUUUUCAAAACAUAUCUUGUGUACACCUUUUUCUCCUCUGACAUUGCUGCCAUACUAAUGUAGGCCCUCAUCGCCUCACACUGGACUGCUGCCAUAGCUUUCUGGUUGGUCUCUUUGCUUCAAGUCUUUCCCUACUCUAAUCCAUCCUCCCCCAGCUAUCAAAGGGAUUGUCCUCAAAAGCAAGUCUGACCAUGUCAUCCUCUGACCCCAUUCAAGGAACUCUAAAGGCUCCUUAUUAACUUCCAGGAUCAAAUAUAAAAUUCUCUGUAGGAUUUUUAAAACCCUUUGUAACCUGGACCCUUUCUACCUUUCCAAUCCAUCUUCUUCACCUUGUGCUCUCCAGCCCCCACCCCUUGCCAUGUACCCUGAGAUCCAGAUCCAGGGACUCCUUGUUAUACUCAUACAAGACACCCAGUCUCCUAACUGUGCGUUUUCACUGGCUUCCCCCUUUAUUCUCUCUCUCUCUCUCUAUCUAUCUAUCUAUCUAUCUCCUGGCUUUCUUGCCUUCCUUCA